rnacentral:rRNA from 1 species
GGGCAGCGGGGGCGGAAGCUUGCUUUCGCCCGCCGGCGACCGCCUUUUGGGUGAGUAACACGUAUGCAACCUGGCCGCCACAGGGGGAUAACCCGCGGAAACGCGGCCUAAUACCCCGUGACGCCACCGGAGGGCAUCCUCCGGUGGCCAAAGGAGCGAUCCGGUGGCGGAUGGGCAUGCGGCGCAUUAGCUAGACGGCGGGGUGACGGCCCACCGUGGCGACGAUGCGUAGGGGUUCUGAGAGGAAGGCCCCCCACACUGGGACUGAGACACGGCCCAGACUCCUACGGGAGGCAGCAGUGAGGAAUAUUGGUCAAUGGGCGGAAGCCUGAACCAGCCAAGUCGCGUGAGGGAUUAAGGCCCUGCGGGUCGUAAACCUCUUUUGCCGGGGAGCAGUGGUCCGGACGCGUCCGGGCCGGGAGAGUACCCGGAGAAAAAGCAUCGGCUAACUCCGUGCCAGCAGCCGCGGUAAUACGGAGGAUGCGAGCGUUAUCCGGAUUUAUUGGGUUUAAAGGGUGCGUAGGCGGGCAUUUAAGCCGGCGGUCAAAUGUCGGGGCUCAACCCCGGCCUGCCGUCGGAACUGGGUGCCUUGAGUGGGCGAGAAGUAUGCGGAAUGCGUGGUGUAGCGGUGAAAUGCAUAGAUAUCACGCAGAACCCCGAUUGCGAAGGCAGCAUACCGGCGCCCUACUGACGC